rnacentral:rRNA from 1 species
UGUUGGGAAAGAAAAGCAGUCGAUUAAUACUCGGUUGUUCUGACGGUACCCAAAGAAUAAGCACCGGCUAACUUCGUGCCAGCAGCCGCGGUAAUACGAAGGGUGCAAGCGUUACUCGGAAUUACUGGGCGUAAAGCGUGCGUAGGUGGUUGUUUAAGUCUGUUGUGAAAGCCCUGGGCUCAACCUGGGAAUUGCAGUGGAUACUGGGCGACUAGAGUGUGGUAGAGGGUAGUGGAAUUCCCGGUGUAGCAGUGAAAUGCGUAGAGAUCGGGAGGAACAUCCAUGGCGAAGGCAGCUACCUGGACCAACACUGACACUGAGGCACGAAAGCGUGGGGAGCAAACAGGAUUAGAUACCCUGGUAGUCCACGCCCUAAACGAUGCGAACUGGAUGUUGGGUGCAAUUUGGCACGCAGUAUCGAAGCU